rnacentral:rRNA from 1 species
UACGGAAGGCAGCAGUGGGGAAUAUUGCACAAUGGGCGCAAGCCUGAUGCAGCCAUGCCGCGUGUAUGAAGAAGGCCUUCGGGUUGUAAAGUACUUUCAGUCGUGAGGAAGGUGUUAAGGUUAAUAACCUUAGCAAUUGACGUUAGCGACAGAAGAAGCACCGGCUAACUCCGUGCCAGCAGCCGCGGUAAUACGGAGGGUGCGAGCGUUAAUCGGAAUUACUGGGCGUAAAGGGCACGCAGGCGGUUAAUUAAGUUGGAUGUGAAAUCCCCCGGGCUUAACCUGGGAAUGGCAUUCAAGACUGGUUAGCUAGAGUCUUGUAGAGGGGGUAGAAUUCCAUGUGUAGCGGUGAAAUGCGUAGAGAUGUGGAGGAAUACCGGGUGGCGAAGGCGGCCCCUGGGACAAAGACUGACGCUCAUGUGCGAAAGCGUGGGGAGCAAACAGGGAUUAGAUACC